UUUGGAAUGCAUGUGGCCCAACUCUACUCUGAGAGUCUGGGAAGAAACCAGUGAGGUCAAUAUUGGCUCUACAGGUUGAAAGUCAAAGUCAAAAUGAAGAGCCACAGGCCUGGAAAGGUACAGGGACUUUAUCUGAUCCUCAGAAAGGUGUGACGGAUGCCCCCCGCAUCUGGUGCAAUGAUUCUCUGUCCGCACACCACCAGUGCGGGCCCAAAAGAUGUGGCCACCUGUGUCUGAUGGCUCCUGGUCUGAAAACAGGUCAGGAGUUGUGUGAAUCUUGGACUUGGACAGGAAGUUGAGUGUGAAACGCCGACAGACCAUGCUGUGUAUUCGAGAGACCCAGAGACGGACUGUUGUAAGCUAAGUAGCUCUGUACUGGUGCCCGGACUCAACCCCCCCCCCCCACCUUCCGGUGAGAGAAAACAGUGAAAACACCCUAAUAGUGUGCUGGCAUCAUCACGGUACAAAUGCAUCUAUCCAUCUGCCCAGCCAGCUUCUCACCGCUGUAGAACAGAUGUUGCACAUGCACACAGCCCCUGGCAAGAAACAGGAAGGAUCCAGCCGGGUGGGGGCUGGGGUUCAGGAGAGGCAAUAGCAAAGCAGUGAUAUACUUUCAGGCUACUGUUACCACUUGGGACCAAUGAAAACAGUGUGGGCUCAUCCUUGCCCACUUCUUUUUUAAUUAGGGAUUUAACUGGGUAUUGAACUCGACUUAAAAACGUUUUUAUGGUGGAGCAUCUCAAAAAUACGCAGAAGCAAAUAGAGGAGUGUAAUCAUCCCCACGAACCCAUCCCUCAGCCUGGACAAUCAUUAUUCCACGGCCGUCCGGCCCCACGUACACGGCUCUACCCGCUUCUGCUGUUUCUACAGACUGAAUGUUAACACAGAAUGAAAGUGUUUUCCACUAGUGAAACAAUAGGACACUGAGUCCUUGGACCAGCGCUCAGGCUCAUGCAUAGACCCAAGCGUCAGGAGAGAACAGAUUUGAGAAAGGAAGAAACGUCAUGUUGUUUUCAUGUUGCUCCGGUUCUGCUGUGUUUCAAAAAAAAGUCAGAGGAGGCUACCGGUCAGCAGACAAUUAGUGAGAGCACGAGGCACUGCCCUUCACUUUGUGUUGCCGGGGACACGAAGAUGAGAUGAGUGUGUUUCCUGAUCGCAGAGGUCUUUACAGUUUUCUGUGGGAGAUCGCACCCCUACUCUUGAUACAAAGUGGCCUAAAGGUCAUAGCUUAGAAAAUGUAGGAGGCAGACCACACCCUGAUGAUCCACACACCUUGCAAGAUGUCCUGUGGUUUCUGGUCACUCAAGCACCCCUGGUCUUUGGAUCGCCCUGGGGAGUAUACUUCAGGGAGGAACACACAGACUGUUGGUGCCAGGCGGUGCUUGGGCUUUGGCUGACAUCUGGUCAACCCCACAGUCAUAAAGCUGCACAGACCUGCAGUGUGGAAGAGACAGACCGCUCCAGUGAAAAGUCGGGUUUUCCAGCUCUAACUUCCAGGGGUUAUUCCAAGUGUCAGGGGUGUGAGAGGAGCGGAAGGCGUUCAAGAGAACUGACGAAGAGUGUUUGGGCUGGGAGUGGACUCUGCUCCCCUCCCGAGGCUGGCCCAGCCCAGCCUACCUCACCCCCAAGUCUUUGAAGUGCGCUACCUGGAUGGUGAGCUAAGCCACGCUUGGCAGGAGGGAGGGAGGUUGUGUGGUCUGGCAAAGAGCAGAGCGGAGGGGCAGAGGGACCAAGCCUGAAUCUGUAGCUGACUCACGGCAUCUCUCGUGCCAGGCCGUUUCACCAUUCAGUCCAGAUGGAAAAUGAGGAAAAGACCCAAAUCAGGAUCUCACUGAGAAAUCCAGAUGCCUUUCAGGAGAAUAAACAAGGCAGCCUGCUCUCUGCGGUCUCUGUUUCCCUGUUUCUGUGCGAGUGUGUAUGUGUCCGUUUCUGGAUCUUAGGGGUGUGUGUGUUAGCUUUGAUCAUUUCUCUGUCCCCCUUCCUCUUACUUCCUGUGGGGAUCCGCUUCAGGACUUGCUUUUGGUCUCAGCUUCAGUCACUGUCUUCAGGCACUUCUGGUACAGGAACAAAGAUCAGCAGCAAAAAAUCACUCCUUUCAAGUAAGUACUCUUCUAUGGCCUUGGCUUUCAUUUUUCUCUGCUACCCUUUGUUUCACACCCGAGAUCCUUAUAUAGGCCAGCCUUCUUCCACCUUUCUACCAUU